UGAACGCUGGCGGCGUGCUUAACACAUGCAAGUCGAACGAUGAUCCCAGCUUGCUGGGGGAUUAGUGGCGAACGGGUGAGUAACACGUGAGUAACCCUGCCCUUGACUCUGGGAUAAGCCUGGGAAACUGGGUCUAAUACCGGAUACGACCAUUCCACGCAUGUGGUGGUGGUGGAAAGCUUUUGUGGUUUUGGAUGGACUCGCGGCCUAUCAGCUUGUUGGUGGGGUAAUGGCCUACCAAGGCGACGACGGGUAGCCGGCCUGAGAGGGUGACCGGCCACACUGGGACUGAGACACGGCCCAGACUCCUACGGGAGGCAGCAGUGGGGAAUAUUGCACAAUGGGCGCAAGCCUGAUGCAGCGACGCCGCGUGAGGGGAUGACGGCCUCGGUUGUAACCGUACUUUCUAGUAGGGAAGAAGCGAAAGUAGACGGUACCGUACAAACGAAACGGACACCGGCGUAACCUAAUGUGCCAGCAGC
rnacentral:rRNA from 1 species